rnacentral:rRNA from 1 species
UGGGGAAUAUUGCACAAUGGGCGCAAGCCUGAUGCAGCCAUGCCGCGUGUGUGAAGAAGGCCUUCGGGUUGUAAAGCACUUUCAGCGAGGAGGAAGGUGGUGAGCUUAAUACGCUCAUCAAUUGACGUUACUCGCAGAAGAAGCACCGGCUAACUCCGUGCCAGCAGCCGCGGUAAUACGGAGGGUGCAAGCGUUAAUCGGAAUUACUGGGCGUAAAGCGCACGCAGGCGGUUUGUUAAGUCAGAUGUGAAAUCCCCGGGCUCAACCUGGGAACUGCAUUUGAAACUGGCAAGCUAGAGUCUCGUAGAGGGGGGUAGAAUUCCAGGUGUAGCGGUGAAAUGCGUAGAGAUCUGGAGGAAUACCGGUGGCGAAGGCGGCCCCCUGGACGAAGACUGACGCUCAGGUGCGAAAGCGUGGGGCAGCAAACAGGAUUAGAUACCCUGGUAGUCCACGCUGUAAAACGAUGUCGAUUUUGGAGGUUGUGCCCUUGAGGCGUGGCUUCCGGAGCUAACGCGUUAAAUCGACCGCCUGGGGAGUACGGCCGCAAGGUUAAAACU